rnacentral:lncRNA from 1 species
CCAGACCAAACCAAUGCACAACUCCUACGUACUGAUGGUGGUCUUACGUUUCCCUAAGUUUCUGCCGACUAAACUGUGCACACGUUCUCAGGACCUCCUGAAGCUGCGUCACAGGCGCUGAUCAAAGAACACAACCAAGAGUUUGGCCUUUUCUUCAGCACUGGGAAUUGUGAUCCAAAGCUUUUCCUGAUGAAGCACAAAGUUGGAGAAAAAAAAGCAAACUAAACAACAACAAUGAAACAGAACAGAGUUAAUCUGCUGUAGCUCAAGAGAGGACGUAGCUGCCCCCACUCCGCAUCCCUGGGCUCGGGUUUGCCUUGCUGACCUCUGCUGCCACCUGGUGCCACACAGAGAAACUGAGGAGAAACCACAUCAGUCUCCUUCAGCCUCAGCUUCACAUCUGUGGGUCAAGUAACCCUUUCAGAAGCUGAAUAAUGUGGGAAAGCUUUCCUCUCA